GUACAGCGGCGAACUGGUGAGUAACACGUGAUCAACCUACCUCUCCGACAGGGACGACCUUUGGAAACAAAGGCUAAUACCUGAUGGUGUUGCCUGCCCAUAAGGGCGAGCAACUAAAGGGGCGUUUGCUCCGCGGAGAGAUGGGGUUGCGGCCCAUCAGCUAGUUGGUAGGGUAACGGCCUACCAAGGCAAUGACGGGUAGGGGGCCUGAGAGGGCGAACCCCCACAUGGGGACUGAGAUACGGCCCUGACUCCUACGGGAGGCAGCAGUAGGGAAUCUUCCGCAAUGGACGAAAGUCUGACGGAGCGACACCGCGUGGAGGACGAAGGCCUUCGGGUUGUAAACUCCUUUUCCAGGGGAAGAAUAAGGGUAAGAGGAAAUGCUUAUCCGAUGACGGUACUCUGGGAAUAAGCCACGGCUAACUCUGUGCCAGCAGCCGCGGUAAGACAGAGGUGGCAAACGUUACCCGGAUUCAUUGGGCGUAAAGGACGUCUAGGCGGUUUGGUGUGUCCUCUGUGAAAGCCCUCUGCUUAACGGGGGGAGGCCAGGGGAAACUACCAGACUAGAGGGUCGGAGAGGGAAGCGGAACUACCAGAGGAGCGGUGAAAUGCGUAGAUACUGGUAGGAACCUCGAUAGCGAAGGCAGCUUCCUGGCCGAUACCUGACGCUAAAGCGUGAAAGCGUGGGGAGCAAACCGGAUUAGAUACCCGGGUAGUCCACGCCCCAAACGAUGUCGAUUAGGUGUUGGCCUCUUUAAUGCUGGGCCAGUGCCGCAGCUUACGCGUUAAAUCGACCGCCUGGGGAGUACGGCCGCAAGGCUAAAACUCAAAUGAAUUGACGG
rnacentral:rRNA from 1 species